CGGGAGCUCGAAGGCCGGGGCGGGAGGGGAGAGGCGGGUGACCUUUUGCCCUGGGGCUGCGCUUUGGAGAGACAGACAGAAAGACUCAAACCGCCGCAGAACUCGUCGACCGUUGCAUUUGCUCAGUCUCCUUCCUUGCAGGGAGGAGCACCGGUUGCUAAAAAAUAAAAAUAAGAAGCAACGAAUGGCCAUAUUUCGUGGGAUGUUAGCAUCCAAAUGCAUACGUAUAAGGGACAGGAAUGAAAGGAGGGGAGUUAGCAAAAGUGGAAGCAAAGGCCAAACCUAACAAACUGCCAAACUACACGAAACGCUGGAGAUCUGUGAUAAGAUGGACUGAGAGCCACCAACUUGGAUGACUUUAAAGGAGGACUAGGGAAACUUAUGGAAGAUGAGGCUUUCAAUGACUACCACGAUGGCUGUGUUCUCCAACCACUGUCAGAAUGCCUUCAUAACUCUUGAUAGAAAGUCAUGUCCCAAACUGACAAUUUAAAACAAAACAAAAAAACACCAGCGAUCCAAGGCCACAGUUGGGCAGUUGAACAAGAGCCAAGAAGAUCCACACCAGAAUGACAGUGAAGGACAA